rnacentral:rRNA from 1 species
AACGAACGCUGGCGGCAUGCCUAACACAUGCAAGUCGAACGAGACCUUCGGGUCUAGUGGCGCACGGGUGCGUAACGCGUGGGAACCUGCCCUUAGGUUCGGAAUAACUCCCCGAAAGGGGUGCUAAUACCGGAUAAUGUCUUCGGACCAAAGAUUUAUCGCCUUUGGAUGGGCCCGCGUUGGAUUAGCUAGUUGGUAGGGUAAAAGCCUACCAAGGCGACGAUCCAUAGCUGGUCUGAGAGGAUGAUCAGCCACACUGGGACUGAGACACGGCCCAGACUCGUACGGGAGGCAGCAGUGGGGAAUAUUGGACAAUGGGCGAAAGCCUGAUCCAGCAAUGCCGCGUGAGUGAUGAAGGCCUUAGGGUUGUAAAGCUCUUUUACCCGGGAUGAUAAUGACAGUACCGGGAGAAUAAGCUCCGGCUAACUACGUG